UGGGGAAUAUUGGACAAUGGGCGCAAGCCUGAUCCAGCCAUGCCGCGUGAGUGACGAAGGUCUUCGGAUUGUAAAGCUCUUUUGGCGGGGACGAUAAUGACGGUACCCGCAGAAUAAGCCCCGGCUAACUUCGUGCCAGCAGCCGCGGUAAUACGAAGGGGGCUAGCGUUGUUCGGAAUUACUGGGCGUAAAGCGCACGUAGGCGGAUUUGUAAGUCAGGGGUGAAAUCCCGGGGCUCAACCUCGGAACUGCCUCUGAUACUGCGGAUCUCGAGUCCGGAAGAGGUGAGUGGAAUUCCUAGUGUAGAGGUGAAAUUCGUAGAUAUUAGGAAGAACACCAGUGGCGAAGGCGGCUCACUGGUCCGGUAUUGACGCUGAGGUGCGAAAGCGUGGGGAGCAAACAGGAUUAGAUACCCAUGUAGUCCCUGAGCGGGCUGGCAAGGCGCAU
rnacentral:rRNA from 1 species